UAAGAAGUCUUCUCACUAGAUUUUUGCACUGAUUACUUCUUCUUUUACUAUUUAAUUUUGGCAUAAUUAUUAGAAUUUUGCUACUUUUGGAUAAAAAAUGUUCUCUUAUCGAUUUGCAAUUAUUAUAAUGGCUUGGCUUGUGGGCUAAUUUUUGACAUUCUUGGAUUUGAUAAUUUUGAUUUGAACAAUUCUCUGUGUUUUUGGACGAUUCUCUUGUUCUCUUCUCAAAAAUUCUCUAUUGAAACUAGC